rnacentral:rRNA from 1 species
AAAGGAAUUGACGGGGGCCCGCACAAGCAGCGGAGCAUGUGGCUUAAUUCGACGCAACGCGAAGAACCUUACCAAGGCUUGACAUAUACCGGAAAGCAUCAGAGAUGGUGCCCCCCUUGUGGUCGGUAUACAGGUGGUGCAUGGCUGUCGUCAGCUCGUGUCGUGAGAUGUUGGGUUAAGUCCCGCAACGAGCGCAACCCUUGUUCUGUGUUGCCAGCAUGCCCUUCGGGGUGAUGGGGACUCACAGGAGACUGCCGGGGUCAACUCGGAGGAAGGUGGGGACGACGUCAAGUCAUCAUGCCCCUUAUGUCUUGGGCUGCACACGUGCUACAAUGGCCGGUACAAUGAGCUGCGAUGCCGCGAGGCGGAGCGAAUCUCAAAAAGCCGGUCUCAGUUCGGAUUGGGGUCUGCAACUCGACCCCAUGAAG